GAACCACUGGUUAAAGCAACAUUCUGAUGACCAGAUCUAGGUUUGCUGAGAUCUGCCAAAGGAAGGAAGUUCAGUUUCCACUCUUCGUGAGCAGGGUUGAAGCCAGUUUCCCUGAGGAUCCUCUGUAAGCAGAAGGGCCCACCCAUCCUUCUCUACCUUGAGCAAGCCUCUGAUCCUGCCAGGAGUGGUUAUAAAGGUGUACUGACAAACUCUGCAAGGUGGAGGAGAUGAAGAAAAGCAAAGGCUAUAUGGCUGCUUUCAAAGCUGUUUAUCAGAAAAGAAGAUAUCUCUCAACAAAAUGACACCAUGUCUAAAAAUGCUUGCCUGGCAUCCCUAUCUGUUAUAUGCUGGAGUGUGAAUUACAUGUGCCUUCAUUGUAAUCAGAAAAUAAAAUGUAUGCCCAUGAAAUAUGUAAAUGUUAGAUAUGAAUAUGUGCUUAAUACAACAGACUGGCUAUAAACUUUGAAAUGGAUCAAGACUAAAAUUUUAUAUAUGAGCUUGCCCUUCUGUUUGAUGAAUUGUAUAGACUGGUAGCUUUGUGGAUUCUAUAGGUAUCCCAGCUUUCUCAUAAAAUGUGGAAUAUUUAUUAUGUAAUAUCGACAGCAGGAUAUUAAUAUUAUUCUAAAAACUACAUACAAAUGCUCCUUGACUUAUGAUGGGGUUGUUUCCCAGUAAAUCCAUCAUAAAUUGAAAAGAUCAUAAGUCAAAAAUGCAUUUAAUAUGCCUAAUUUACUGAGCACCAUAGAUUAGCCUAGCCUACCUUAAAUGUGCUCAGAACACUUACAUUAGCUUACAGUUGGGCAAAAGCCAUCUAACACAAAGCCUAUUUCAUCAUAAAAUGUUGACUAUCUCAUGUAAUUUAUUGAACACUGUACUAAAAUUGAAAAACAGAAUGAUUGUGUGGAUAUUUGAAGUACAGUUUUUACUGCAUGGGUAUCGCUUUUGCACCAUGCCACCUCUUUCUUUCUCCUCAUAUAUAUAAAUAUAUAUAUAUAUAUAUGAUGGGAGGAGGAAAGAGAGAGAGGGAGAGAGAGG
rnacentral:lncRNA from 1 species